rnacentral:lncRNA from 1 species
UUCCCCUGGUCCAAAGAAGCCACAGGCAACAAUGAGAAUCCACAGCAGUCAGCAAACAAAUUCAGUAGCUUGAAAUUAGAAGCUGGAACUCACCCACCAGAUGUGAGCUCACCCACCUGAAUCUUCGCAAGUUUUAGGAGGAAGGAUUAGAUUGAGCUUCUGCAUUGUCUCAACAAAACUGAUCCAUGUUAUGACUCCAACAGCUGCAACGGAAGACAACCA